CCACAAUGGGAAAAGCACCUGACAGGUUGACGGAGGACGGGAGAGACAAUUUAGAGACUUAAGGUUUUAUUGUUGAGUGAUGCGCAAACAUUUGGAUGAAGAGAAGACUUAUAACCCCUUUGAGUUAACGCGGCCAAUGAGAGUCAAGUGGCUGCCCCUUGCCCCUGCUCCUUGAUGGGGCAUGUUUCAGGUGGGUCUGGAAGAUGGUUUCAAUUUCUGCAUCCAUGGCCUUCACAUACCAUCUCUUAACAGCAGCUGGGGAGAGGGCAUAAGAAAAAAUUAAACAUUUUUACAGAGCGUCUAUUCAGAUGUUAAAUGCACUUAAUAGAUGGCAGGAACACUUUGUUUUGGGAGUUGAAAGAGUAAUGAAAGAACCACUUCUUAGAGCCACACAGUAGCCUGAAUCUGAUGGUUCCUAAUAAAGCCAGUAGGCAUUCACAGUGUGCUAUGGUAGCCCAGCUGAGCCCAGGAUAGCCACAUGCAAAUGAAGCCCAUUCAGUAAUUUCAGUUAUAUCAAUCUUAGUUUCUUACACUUUAUCACAUGACACAACUUUGUAGCCUUAAAAGGCAGUUUGUCACGUUGUUCCCCUCCAUACAUGUUGUACUUUGCCAUGACUCCAUUUGUCAUCAGCCUGUAAGACAAAAUUCCUGUUAGCAUUUUGUACAUAUAACAAAAUAAAAACAGCAUCAAGAGUUUGUCAUUGACAUCACUGGAUCUGUAAUAUAGGAAGUUGUGUACUAUAACUUUUACAUUAAAAUGUGUUUUUGUUC